rnacentral:rRNA from 1 species
UCUUACAGCCAUGCCACCCUGAACAAGCCUGACCCCAUCUGAUCUCAGAAGCUAAGCAGGGUCGGGCCUGGUUAGUACUUAGAUGGAAGACCACCUAGAAGACCAGGUGCUGUAGUUG